rnacentral:rRNA from 1 species
UACAGAGGGGGCAAGCGUUGUUCGGAAUUACUGGGCGUAAAGGGCGCGUAGGCGGCCUUCUAAGUCGAACGUGAAAUCCCCGGGCUCAACUCGGGAACUGCGCUUUAAACUGUCUGGCUAGAGUAUGGGAGAGGUAAGUAGAAUUUCCAGUGUAGAGGUGAAAUUCGUAGAUAUUGGAAAGAAUACCAGUGGCGAAGGCGGCUUACUGGACCAUAACUGACGCUGAGGCGCGAAAGCGUGGGGAGCAAACAGG